rnacentral:lncRNA from 1 species
UUAGAGGGCGCUUUCCAGUAAAAGCGCCCUCUAAACCCUUAAAUGUUUCCACUUUAGAGGGCGCUUUUUUUAAAAAGCGCCCUCUAAAGUGGGUGGUUAUUUAAAUUUUUUUUUUUAAAAAGCGCUAUAUUUUUUUAUUUAUUUUAGACAACCUGUAUAUUGAAGCAGUACACCCAAAACUAUAUAAUUUGAAGCCCUUUUUCACA